AUAACUAAAAGCUUCUGGGGAAAAGGGUUGGGUCUCGGCAACCAAGCAAAUGCGCUGUUAAAACUUAAAACUUAAGGUGAAGUCCGGAAUUUGGAGUCCGAUGGUAGGUAUACGAGUGGUCCAUAUAUAUAUAUGGGCACAUCAUCCUUUCCCCAUCAUUUGCAGUCCGUUCAUUUCAAAACUGUUGCUGUCUCCCUCCACACCACAACUGGUCCUUGCAGGUAAAGAAGGCGAUCAAGCGUCUAGAAACAUCUCAUGGCUCGGCUUUGGCAAAUUGUAUUGCAAAAAAUUCUAGGACCUCCAGCUUGGGCGUUUAGAAGAGCUGCGAGACGACUACAGCUGAUGAUUCUCCAAUAUGAGAUGGAUGGCCUGAAUCCCGAGUAUGUUCUGCCAGAAAAGCUUGGCAAGUUCUAUGCAUGAAAUAAAAGUCAAUAGAAAUGAUAAAUAACGCCAAGAAGAAUUUGUUUCUUCUUCUUCUUCGUUGUACAGCAUUAAUGGAGUUUAAUUCUCAGACAGAGUUAUGUGACUUUUCUAGCUACUAUAGUGCUACUGUAUGGGUGGAUUCCCGUGAUCCGCGUUCGGCAGCAACACCAUUUUUCUUUUUGGGUUUAAGACAAAAUUGUCUACUCAUUGCAAUAAAGAAGAAGGGGAAAUGGUCAAUUUAGUCCUCCGACAUUUUAACUCUCAAGGCGAUUUCAUCCUUCAUCUGUUAUUUAGGUAAUUUUAGGUGGCGUUUGGUUCGCACAUCGGUAUCGGAUUCGGAUUCGGAAUCGGAUAUCUUGGGUUUGGAAUGAGAUCAUUCAUUCCAAUACAUUUGUUUGGUUCAAAUACCUGAAAUGUGUAUCAUUACUAUAGUUGAUGUUUGGUU